AUUGAACGCUGGCGGCAGGCCUAACACAUGCAAGUAGAACGAGUGGCGGACGGGUGAGUAAUGUCUGGGAAACUGCCUGAUGGAGGGGGAUAACUACUGGAAACGGUAGCUAAUACCGCAUACCAUCAGAUGUGCCCAGAUGGGAUUAGCUAGUGGGUGGGGUAAUGGCUCACCUAGGCGACGAUCCCCAGCUGGCCUGAGAGGAUGACCAGCGACACUGGAACGGAGACACGCUCAAGACUCCUACGGGAGGCAGCAGUGGGGAAUAUUGCACAAUGGGCGCAAGCAUGAUGCAGCCAUGCCGCGUGUGUGAAGAAGGCCUUCGGGUUGUAAAUCACUUUCAGCGAGGAGGCGUUACUCACAGAAGAAGCACCGGCUAACUCCGUGCCAGCAGCCGCGGUAAUUC
rnacentral:rRNA from 1 species